rnacentral:lncRNA from 1 species
GCUGGGAUGUUGCCUUAUUUGAGAGGAUGUGUAAUACAUUAGCACUUUUUGUGCAUCAGGGACAUGACACUGACAAAAGGGUCUUCACAUACGGCAUAUUAGGAAACUUGCUCUCAUUUGAAAAUGGGGCUAACUUCAUCACAUCAGCAGGGAUAACUUCUGUGCCUGAUGAAAUCCUGACAUCUGCAGAAAUGCAAAUGCUGAGAGAUCUUAAAGAAGUAAUCAGACGACUGAAAAAUCGACUGGAGAGACCAAACUCAGAAUGUGAAGACUUAAAUGGAGCAAAGAAAAAGAAGAAGAAGAAGAAGAAGAAGAAGAAAAAAUCAGAGAAGCAAGAAGAGCCAAAUAAUGAUGAAGUGAGUAAUGCUGCAACUGAAGCAGCAGCAGCUGAGCCUUUGCAUGCCAAUGCUACAGAUAUAUCUAUGAAACACAAGUGGCUUCCAGUCAGCAAAAGGUGGAGAGAAAAACUCAAGAAGCUCUCUCAAGAAAGUAAAGUAAUCAGAGCAGGGAGCAUGAUUUACGUGAAAAGUGGAGAAUUUCGGAUUGCUAAGGGCAGUGAUGGUACCGAAGUGUUCUUGGGGCUCAGAGAUGACGGCACUGAAGUUGCCAUUAAGAGAAUGUCCCAGAGCAACUAUGAGGUCCUGAAGAAUGAGGAAGGGUUUCUACGACUUCCAGAACUGGAUCAUCCAUCUAUCGUGCGAUAUGUGGACUUUGCAGAGGAUGAGUACUUUGGAUAUCUUGGUCUCCAACUUUGUGAAUCCACCCUGGAAGAAAUCACCACUACCAGCAGAGAUGGUGGUCUACACAUGGAGACACUCUCCUAUCAGGUCCUUGAGAGUUUGAGGGUGCUCCAUGGUCAAAAACCUCCAAUUCUCCACCGGGAUCUCAAACCACAAAAUGUUUUGAUUGGUAAGGCCCAUCAGAGAAAAAGAGACAAUGAAUAUUAUCCUGAAAAAUUGUACAAUAUCCAUAUUUUUAUUGUAAUCUGAAAGUGUUUUCCUUGAUCUUUCUGCAGAUGUUAAUGGAAGGGCAAGAUUAGCUGAUUUUGGCAUCAGUAGACGGUUACCCAAAGGCAAAACGACGUAUCGCACAGGAGCUGCUGGAACAAAGUGCUGGAAGGCCAAAGAGACCAUUAAAGCAAAAGAUGACGUACCAUACAAAUCCAACACUGAUAUACAGGCAAGUUUUGUGACCCAAACUUACCAGAUGACUUCUUAAAAAACCACUUCCAUAAUUGCUUUUGUUAAUUCUUCAGGUGGCAGGCAUGCUGAUCUACUAUAUUCUCUCCGGGGGACACCAUCCUUUUGGUGACGAAGAUUUUGAAUGUGAGUACAACAUUAAUAAAGGGAGGUACAAUCUGGACCAUGUCAAAGAUAUGGUGGCAAAGGACCUCAUUGAGUGGAUGAUAAAUGAAGAUCCAAAGAAGAGACCAAAAGUUGGAGAAUGUCUGAGCCAUCCUUUCUUUUGGAGCCCAGGGAGGUAAGAAGGAAAGAUGAUGGAUGAAUUUCUUUGUUAAUACCUAAAAGUUAGGUAUCAAACAUGCAGCUAAAUUUCAAAUUUUAUUCUUUCAGGAGAACUGAUUAUCUGAAAGAGAUUGGAAACCUGGGAAAAGUGAAAAAAUAUCAAAAUGUUGAUCCAGAAUUGAGUCAGUGGGUGGACAACUGUGCCGGAGAUGAAUCCCUCCAAGAGUGGAAAAACAAGGUAACUGAAACAUCACAAAUGCAUUUACUUCGAGGGCCUUAGUGUUGAGGGCCCCACUGGAAUGUAGUGUCUGUCUCUGUGGGGGUGGGGUUGAGGGCUUUAAUAAGCCUGGAAACUCACCAAUUUCUUCACAUGUAUCAAGCAUGUGUGAAAUUUACAUUUUUUCAUGAUCUCAAAAAUGUUUAAAAAAUUACUCAAUAGCCCCCCCUAGGUUUUCAAAAAGACCUCCUUAUUGAGUUUUUUUCCCCACCUACAUGUAUCAGCUUCAUUGUGCAAGUUUAUCUGCAGUCUGAGCCAAAUGCACUUCUCAUAAUAGGGGCCCAGUCUUGAAGUCACAGCACUCCCCAGUGGCAGUAGGAAAUUUCAUGCCUUACUUACCUUGUUUUUUUUUUUUUUUUUGUUUUUUUUUUUUGAAAAUACAGUACCACCUACUGGCAACAGGAAAUGAUUAUGUCCAUUUGACAACUACCAAAUCCUGUCUGGUUGACUGAGCUUAUAAACUUUCUUUCGCUAAAUCCUAAUGUUGUGUUCACACAAAGCGCAAAAAUGUUGUUUAUUUACUUGCUUCAUUGGCACAAAUAGUCAGCUCAAUUUACGUGAAUAGUCUGCUAAAUUUGCACUACUCAUGCUGCGUAUGAGUAGGUAGGUAAUUGUGUCUCCGCAUUGACUUUACAAGUAGUUCACUCACCAAAUCAAUUUGCUAGCACUAAGUGUAACUGUUGUUUUGUUUUGUAGUUUCCACCAGAGUUGGUCCAGAAAUCGGAAAGCAAGAAGAAACCCUAUCCUGACAACAUCCUGGCACUGCUGCGGUUCAUUCGAAACGCCUUUGAGCACUAGUGAGUUAAAACCAGUUGAAGAAAAGUCGUCAUUACAUGUGUUUUUCAAUGAUUAUUUGAUCUUUUUAUGUCAAAUCAAAACUCUAAAAUUUCUGUGAUUUUAAUUUAACUGAACUGCUACUUUUCAUGAAAAGGCUUGUUUGAUUCUUCAGAUACACAACAGUAAAGAUCAGUCUAUAAUUAACCUUGUCACAGUUGGUUCUAUUAUCUCAAUUAUCACUGCCUCAUUUUUCAGAAGGUUGGAGGAAAUAAUGGAGCAAAAAAACUUGAUUUACACAGACAUUUGUUUGUAAUAGUUUGACUUUUCUAUUUACAGUCCCACAGAGGCAGCCAAACUUGAUCUGAUGUCCAUGUUUCCUGAACUGUUUGGAUGUGUUUACAAGUUUGCAAAAGUGCAAGGGUGGAAUUCAGAGCCAGCCCUGAAGAAGAUGUUUAGGAGAGAGUUUCCAGAAGACAGCGUGCUCACAGAAGCUGCAAUGCUACCUACAAACUCUGACGAAGAAGUCAAAUACCCAAUCCAAGAAUCUCAGGAAACAGAAACUGAACCAAUGACCUCAAAGCCCGAGCCGUUCAAUUGAACAGGGUUUUGAUGUUCAUCAGGCUCACUGUCACUGCUGCUGUUUGCAGUAUUAUCUUUUGUACAGGGGAUUUACAUCAGGACAGUGAUUCACUCAUCUGUUUAUUGCUUUGGAUGUACAGAGAAUGGACAAUGCAUGUUUAAAGCCUCUUGAAAUGAAUGUUCUGGCUCUUUGAAAUAAGUAAAUAUCAGUGCUUAUUUUUCACAUGGAACAUGCAAUCUGUGUUCUUCUGUAGUUUGAUGUUGAAAUGAGAAUGAAGUUAAAGGUAAAAACGAUGCAAGUCCAGCAAAGAGACAGCAAUGAAAAAAGAGGAUAUAUUAAGAAUUUUUUCUUCCAAAAUUUUUCAGGUGAAUGAGAAGAAACUGUAAAUGUAUUGGAGUUUUUCUGAUUUCUUGUGUUUAUGUAGUGCUUUAUCUUUCAUUUUACAAAGACAUUGAUGGUGUUCGGUACCAAACACUUUUUCUCCUACUGUAUGUCAUUUCAUUUUGUUCUGAGGUAUACUUUUAAAAAGACCAAAUCUUGGAGUAGAACUGCUCCUUGCAAACUUUGACACACUUCUUGACUCACUGCCAGUUUUUUUAUUCUGAAAAUAUUCCCGAUCAGCUGAUAUGAGAGUUGAUGUUAAUGACUGGUUGUCUUCAACCUGUCCUAUUUUAUUUUUUUGGUUACAUUUUAAUGCUUAUCUUGAUUAUUUCUUGUAAUUACCAAGUAAGUGAAUAAACAAAGUUUAUUUUUGUAUCAAAGAGAUGCUGGAGUGUGAGGUUCAGCUCUGGGUGUGGAAUAAAUCAGAAACACAAUCAAACAAAGCAAAAUAUGUUUUCCAGGAUAUGGCACACACAACUACUUUAAUCUCAUUAUUAAAAGAAAAUUAUUAUUAUGAAAAGAAAAGAAAAAUAACUGA